GUGCUAGUUACAGUAGUACAUAACACCAAAAGUAGAACCAUACAGAGAUUAUUCACAGGGCACCUACAUAAGAAUGAUAUGAACACUCAUGAAAUGUUCCACAUUAUU
rnacentral:snRNA from 1 species